UCUGGGAAGGGGCUUAGGAGGAAGGGACAGGGUUGGGAGUUGCAGGGAGGGGUAUUAAAGUUAGUGUAUGUGAGAGAGCUGUUCAGGAACAGUCCCUUUUGGGCUGGUAAAGAGAGUGGGUUCCUUUUCAGGACAAGACUGUGUUGAGGCAGGGCAGUUCCAGCCUGUGUCGGCAUUGUGUAGUUUGUGUAUUCUGCCUUCUGUGUCUUAGACCUUCCUCAAGUCUCGAUGUCCUGGUUUCUCUUUGCACUCAGGGAGCACGGCGCAUGCCUUGGGCACCACCUCUACGAUCUUGAAUGCCUGUCCUUGGCAUAGCGCUGAUCGGGCGCUUCUUGUUCUGGUGUUAGAAGCUGAAAGUGUGGAUAGGUCUUGGAAGUUUCUGGUUGGUUCUGUUUUGUGGCAUCUUUCCAGGCUGUGUCAUCAGCUGUGCUCCUUAGGUGUCCCUUUUCAGACUGGUACUUCUUCCCUGCAUCUUUACAUCGUUAAGUCUUGAAGUCGGUCCUCUUGCGCAUCCAUUGUCUCAGUUUUGAUGAUAACUUCUUCUAAUGGGCCAUUAUGUUUGACACUUUUUUUUUCUGGGGUUGCCAUAGAGCCUCCUUGCUUCAUGGUUGUGACCAUCUAGGUCUUCUUGCUCAUCAGCAUCUCCUGUCUGGGAGUCAUUCUCAAUUAGAGUUUUUUCUCAUUGUUGAAUUGCACCGUGCGUACUGUUGGUCUGUGCAUGCGUGUGUUUGUCUUGGAGGUGCUCUCUCCAGGGGUGUGGAGUCAGGGGUAGGUUGAGUAGCAGUAGGAGUCUGGGGUUAAUAUGUUGUUACGCUUAGACCAUUUCGGGAAUGUUUGCAUAGUCACCUCAGAUCAACUAGCCAUCAGCAGGCUGUGUGGACAGUCAUUUCUACAGUGUUUUAUGGAGAUGAUUUAAGCUUUGUGGGAGGGGCUGUUCUGCAGUAGUGAAGCAGAUUGAAUCUCAAAGGUGUUAAGGCUUGUGGGUGUGGGGCUGACAGUUUGGUGUGGGAGUUGGUUUUGUUUUUUCAGUGGCAGGCUGUAGUUAGACUCUAGAUGGUAUUCCUAGCUGGAAUCAAGACCUCAGGAUUUCUUAAGCUAUCACUUGGUAUCUGGGUGACUCACCUACUAAUUUUUUUCAGGUGCAGAGGGAUGAGAUGCACAUGAGAGUGAUGGAGGACGUGAGCAGAGCUCCAUUAGAAGGUGCAGAGGGGUAAGAUACAUACCGAAGUGACGGAGGAGGUGUGAAGUGGUGAGCAAAAGAGGAUAUUGGCACCAGAGCCGGCUCAGGCAAGCUGCCUUUGGAAUUGGAGGAACACUUAAGAUGAUGAAGAGGAAGCUGGCAACUAAAGGGACAUCCCUGUUAGCUGAUGUGGUUUUUCUGUUGAGGAUGGAUUCAGACCUCUGGCCCUUUGAAAACCUAUGAUGAGGGGACCAGGGCUGGAGAGGGCCUGGGAGGAGUGGACAAGGUUGGGAACUGCAGGGAGGGCUAUUAAAGUUAGCGUAGGGGAGGGUGCUGUCCAGGAACAGUUUCCUUUGGGCAGGCAAGGGAGUGGGUUACUUGUCAGCAUGACACUAGUUUGUGUUGGGCAGGGCAGGUUCCAGCCUGUGUCCGUGCAUGUAGCUCACAUAGUCUGUCUUGUGUCUUAUACCACACUGUCCUCAGGUAUUGAUGUAUCCAUAGCUCUUGGUCGUCAGCAGGCACCUCAGUAGUCCUCCUGAGAAUCUUCAGUGCAUUGCUUCACUGGCAUAGUGCCUGUUGAGCCCUUCUUGUCUAGCAAUUGUUGCCUAAAGGAUGGAUUUGCCUGGUGUGUUUUGCACUGUAGAUGUUCUUGAGUGGUCACCUUUUGUGCUGCCGAGCUAGGCGAUGCCUGCAACUCUUCUGUUGAGAGUUGGUUCUGUUUGCACACAGUAGCAUUCUGAGGUUUCAUCCCCGUGUCCUUAAUGAUCUUAAGUCUUGAAGCCCAGCUCCUCAGGUAUCCAUCAUUCCGGUUCUGACGGUAGCUUUCUCUCAUGGGCCACAGUAGUUGCCUCUCAUUACGGGGCUGCUAUAAAGCAUCUGCACUGUCGUGGCACCGUAGAGCUCCUGCUGGUGGCAUCUCCCCUAGGGUGGCAGUUCUCUCUCACGGUCUGCUCGUGUCUCACAGUCACGUUGUUUGUGGUGUCUGUCUGUGUCAGGGUUGGAGCUGCCCUGCCUGGGGGUGUAGCAAUACUAAAGACAAUGGUAGCAUAGCUUUAUGGUUGAAUAGUAAUAUGUUGAUCUGCUCGGAUCCUUUUGGCAAAGACUAUACGGUCCAUCUCUGGGCAAAUAGCUGUAGACAGCUGCCAGAGUUGUUUUCACUGUGUUUGGCAGGUGCCAGAGGUUGGACUCUGGCCUGCUGGGAGUGGUGGUCUGUGUGGUGGUUGAAAGGGUUGAAUCUUAAAAGAGCCUUAGCUUAUAUGUGGGGUUCAGCAUGUGGGGUUGGGUUGUUUUAGCUGUAGUUAGAAGGCAUAUGCAAAAAGAGAGACCUUUGGUCUUGUAAAGCUAUCGGUUAGUGUCUAGGUGACUACCUUCACGUGACUUGGGUUUCUCAGAUGCAGAGUGAUGAGCUGUGUGCUGCAGGGUGACAGAAGAGGUAACCAGAGUGCUGUGCAAAGGCGGGCCGGUGUCUGAUAUCAGAGGAUAUGUGUCACUGAUGUCUCUGAUGGGCUUAUGCUGUUUUGGGUUUAUUUGCUAGGUGUGAAUAGAUGAGUGAAGUGGGAUAUCUGUACCGGAGCAGACUUUAGCAAGGAAAGUGGUGACCAGUGUGCCGAAGUAGUAGUUUUUUGAGGAGUCAUACCCUCCCUGUUAUGUACAUACAUAUCCCUAUCCUAUAGGGAUGGGGUAUGUAGACCAAAGAAUAUGAGUCUGAGCAGCUGAGGUAAAGCAGCAGAGGAGGAGCGCUGCGAGCAGGCUGAGGAUUUGGGUGGCAUCUUACCAUGAGCAAAGGUAGUUUAAGCAUUAGUAAUGAGCUAUGUGAAAGACAGGGACAGGUAAAGAAGUCACAGGGAAAAUGGUAUUCGAGGUCUAUCACAGUAGUAACGAACAGGAGCGAUGCGAGUAAGAACAUGGGCGCUGGUCCUUAAUGUCUGUAGUGAAAUAUGGCGGUGGGAAAGACAAAAGGAAAUGGGGUAGGUGGUGAUGACUGUUCCUUACCAAAAUUUAUUUAGGAUCGGUUUUGCUUUUGUCGUCUCAAGUAGGCGUCUGUGGGCAAGUAGUCAAUAGAUGUAGGUAGCUGUCGACAGGUCAGGAAGCACAUGCGUCGCUGCAUCGUUAGGUCCGAUGGACUCUUGCCAAUGGUACGAGCCUGAAAAGUAGAGAAAGCAGUGUAGGUUAAGUGGGUGAAAAAGAUGUGUAUUAUGUGAAAUGGUAAUGCCAACAGGCCGGUUGUGGGCAUGAGUUAGACAUUGGCGGUAAGCCUAGGAUGCUAUGAGAGAGAAGUGCAAUGAGCAGCUGAGAUAAAUAGAUAAUAAAGGUGUAAUAAGUACUAGUGAAUAGGGUAGUAAGGGUUAAUAAGAAUGAGAACAUGUGUGUGACAGAGCUUUAAAUAAUAAAACUUAAACUGCAAAGAGUGCCCAUUGUGUUUAUUUCCAAAAUAAAGGUUGAUUUGCUUUA